rnacentral:rRNA from 1 species
AGUCUGCAACCCGACUCCACGAAGCUGGAUUCGCUAGUAAUCGCGCAUCAGCCACGGCGCGGUGAAUACGUUCCCGGGCCUUGUACGCACCGCCCGUCAAGCCAUGGGAGCCGGGGGUACCUGAAGUGCGUAACCGCGAGGAUCGCCCUAGGGUAAAACUGGUGACUGGGGCUAAGUCGUAACAAGGUACC